CUUGUGCGAGUGCUUUUGCCAGCAUUUCAGAGUGCAGGCCCAUCACCCUUCACUGGGAUCCCCCAUGAGGCCUGCCCGACUGCGUGCCCCACCCAUGCCCAUGGCAGCACACCGGGAAGCGGACAGCUGAGGACUUGUUGCAGUGCAUGGAGAUGGGCGCGAAGUUGUACAGGGCCUUCAGUACUUCGCGGUUGAAGGAGUUCCAAGGAACAGAGGAUCCCAAAGCCACCCUGCAAGUUGGAGAAGACCCGUCAGCCCCGGGCCGUGCCACGCAGACGUUGCCGUCCAGCAGCUUUCGCCCCAUCCACGUGUUCACUGCGUCCACUUGUCUGUUCACUGCACCGUGCCAGGCAUGCUCUGGGGAACUAAGUCCCUGCCCUCACGGUAUUGCCACCACUGGUAGGAGAAACAGGCAGCGAGUGAGUUAACCAGGACAUUCCUCUCAGGUGCUGAUGAUGCUGUGAAGAAAAAUGAAACCGGACAAGUGGAUGGGGGUGUUAUUGUGCCUAUUUUAUGGGUACAGAAACUGAGUCUCAGAGUGGGCAAGGGGACACCCCGUGGUGGCCGCAGCAUUGGUGGCACAGCCUGAGUGGACCCAGCCUCCCAGUCUUUGUCUGGAAGCUGUCCCCAUGACCUCCAGUGAGAACCUGGAGCCAAGGACUGCAAGGGAGGCCCUUUCCACUGCAGCCCCACGCCGUCCACCAGUCAUUUCUCGAAUGCGGCUCCGAGGGGAGCAGGGACUGUAGAAGACAGGACCGUGACUAGAGGUCACGACAACCUCCAGCCUCUCAGGGCAACCCUAUGGCCUGCCAUCACAUGGGAGGGGCAGGACAGGUACCCUCUGGGUCCCCACUGCCAACUUUAAGCCCCUAGCUGGGUUGCUGCUCUUGGAGCUGGUGACCGUGGAGCCUCAGCCAUGGGAGGAAGAAGAAUGCUGGCAGCUUGGAGGAGCUGGGGCUGGAGAGAGCAAAGCUCCCCCCGGCAGCAGCUCAGACCCCAGCAGGUCAGGUGCCGGGACAUGACGCCCUGGCCACCCUUGCUCGUCCAGGCUCCCCGCUGUUUGUGAAGCUGCUGUGGGCCUGGGGAUUUCAUCUGGCUAGUGGGGAAGAAAGGCAAUCGUUGCUCUAUGGCAGAACAAAGGGACUGGGAAAAGCUCGGUGUGGCGCUUACACCAGCUGCCGCCCCCACCUCCCAUGUAGACAAAGAGCAUGGGGCAGUUCUGCCCAGAGACCAAACCUGGCGCCUGUUGGCCAGGACGGGGUUUUGCCAGCAUUGUUCUCUGGGCCAGAUUCCUCCUUUCCCAGCUUUUCUCAUCCAUCCCGCCCACGUCAGAUCGGGCAGAUAGGCCUUCUGUGUGAGUUCCCGUCCCUCCCCACCCUCCGCCACCGCAGACAUCAAAAGGGAACUGAGUCUGACCCUGUGCAGGAUCUGUUCUCUUUCACCUGGGGAAGGAAAUCGAAUUUCAAAGGCCGCUGUCUCUUGGAUCAGCAGGUGAGGGGCUGUCAGAGCAUGAGAAGCUCAGAUCCACCUGGGAAGCUGCCUUUCCCUUUGAUCCCACCUGGUGCUGUGAUGUAGCCACCGCCAAGAGGAGGGCAUGGGCCAGGGACGCCGCAGAACUGCCCGCUGAGACACUGGCACCGAGGGCCUCGACCUGAAGAACGGGCAUCUGAGAUGUCAGUGGUGCUCACCAGGCCUGGCAGCCCUGAAUGCCCGGGAAUGUGGCAUUGGUUCUGCCGCCAUGAAGCCAGGUUGGGCAGGAAAUAUGCAGUCUCCUGGCUGGAUACCCGGCAAGACCCUCCCGUCCCUGACCCUGGGGCUGUGCCUGCAGAAUGGGGCGAUGCUGGGGCCCUGAGUGGGGUGCUCCACCUGCAGAGCCCUGUGUCUGUGAGCUCACUCAGUCACUGCACAGGUGCUCAGCCGAGAGGCGGCACAGUUGGGGUUAGCACCUGCCCCCAUACCAGCCCUGCCUCCUGUUCGCUGUGUGUGUAGCCUGAGUGGCUGGACCUCGCUGUGUCUCCUGGUGGGAUCUGCUCUGAGGUCUCAGCAAGGCUUGGUGUGGUUAGAAUGAGUUAUUAGAGCAGUGCUGAGCUGUAGCCAGCGCCCGACGUCAGCCACGGCCGUGAUAUACUGAGCACCUCCUCUAGAGAGAAUAAAGGACUGGCAAAGCUCUCCCACCCCCCCAACCCCGAAUCUUUGAUCAGGGACCUAGGGCAGUUGUCACCUGAAAUCCAAGGGAGACAGAAAAGGUGUGGUAAGAACUGUAAGGCACAAGGCCCUGGAUCAAAUUCCAGCUCAGGCAUCUAUCAGCUGUGUGACUUUGGUCAAGUGCCUGCCCUCUCUGAGCCUUUAUGUCUCACCUGUGAAAAUACAAACACUGGCUGGGUGCUGUGGCUCACGCCUGUAAUCCCAGCAUGAGGGAUUACAUGAGGAGCUCAAGACCAGCCUGGCCAACAGGGUGAAACCCUGUCUCUACUAAAAAUACAAAAAUUAGCUGAGUGUGGUGGUGCGCACCUAUAAUCCCAGGCUUGGGAGGCUGAGGCAGAGAAUCACUUGAACCUGGGAGGCAGAGGUUGCAGUGAGCUGAGAUCGCACCACUGCAUGCCAGCCUGGGCAACAGAGCGAGACUCUGUCUCAAAAAAAAAAAAAAUAUAUAUAUAUA